rnacentral:rRNA from 1 species
GAUGAACGCUAGCGGCAGGCUUAAUACAUGCAAGUCGAGGGGCAGCGGGAGUAGCAAUACUUGCCGGCGACCGGCGCACGGGUGCGUAACACGUAUGUAAUCUGCCCAUCACAGGAGGAUAGCCCGGAGAAAUUCGGAUUAAUACUCCAUAAUAGAAGAUAAAGCAUUUUAUUUCUUGAAAGUUCCGACGGUGAUGGAUGAACAUGCGACUGAUUAGUUUGUUGGUGGGGUAACGGCUCACCAAGACUACGAUCAGUAGGGGUACUGAGAGGUUAAACCCCCACACUGGUACUGAGACACGGACCACGACUCCUACGGGAGGCAGCAGUAAGGAAUAUUGGACAAUGGCCGCAAGGCUGAUCCAGCCAUGCCGCGUGCAGGAAGACGGACCUAUGGUUUGUAAACUAGC